CCUACGGGAGUCAGCAGUGGGAAAUAUUGGGCAAUGGGCGCAAGCCUGACCCAGCAAUGCCGCGUGAAGGAAGAAGGCUUUCGGGUUGUAAACUUCUUUGACAGGGGAAGAGCAGAAGACGGUACCCUGAAAACAAGCCACGGCUAACUACGUGCCAGCAGCCGCGGUAAUACGUAGGUGGCAAGCGUUGUCCGGAUUUACUGGGUGUAAAGGGCGUGUAGCCGGGAAGGCAAGUCAGAUGUGAAAUCUGGAGGCUCAACCUCCAAAUUGCAUGUGAAACUGUUUUUCUUGAGUACUGGAGAGGCAGACGGAAUGCCUUGUGUAGCGGUGAAAUGCGUAGAUAUAAGGAGGAACACCAGUGGCGAAGGCGGUCUGCUGGACAGCAACUGACGGUGAGGCGCGAAAGCGUGGGGAGCAAACAGGAUUAGAUACCCCAGUAGUC
rnacentral:rRNA from 1 species